AAGUCGUAACAAGGUUUCCGUAGGUGAACCUGCGGAAGGAUCAUUAAUGAAUUAACUUGGGGGUUGAUGCUGGCUUUGAUGCAUGUGCUCGCCCUCAUAAUUCUAUCCCAUACACCUGUGCACAUCUUGAGGGCUCGAGGGGAUGUCUCCUUGACCUUCUUCUUACAAACUCUUUACUAAUAAUCGAAUGUGAUUGUGCCGAAAGGCCGUAAACUUAUACAACUUUUAACAACGGAUCUCUUGGCUCUCGCAUCGAUGAAGAACGCAGCGAAUUGCGAUAAGUAAUGUGAAUUGCAGAAUUCAGUGAAUCAUCGAAUCUUUGAACGCACCUUGCGCUCCCUGGUAUUCCGGGGAGCACGCCUGUUCGAGUGUCGUGAAAUACCUCAAGCUGGAUGCUUUGUUGCUAUCUUGGCUUGGACUUGGACUUUGCCGCGCAUGACUUUAUGGUUGUAGCGGCUGGUCUUAAAUGCAUUAGCUGACCCAUGAUGUAUCUUUGGUUCUACUCGGCGUGAUAAGUUAUGACCGCUGAGGACAUCUGCUUUUGGGCGGAUGGCCAGGAGUGCCUUGGAUCGCUUCCAAUCUGUCCGUCCUUUGCGGCGACAACCUUUCAACAUNGACCUCGAAUCAGGUGGGACUACCCGCUGAACUUAAGCAUAUCAAUAAGCGGAGGAAAAGAAACUAACAAGGAUUCCCCUAGUAACGGCGAGUGAAGCGGGAAAAGCUCAAAUUUAAAAUCUGGCAGUCUUUGACUGUNCGAGUUGUAAUCUAGAGAAGCGUUUUCCGCGCUGGACUGUAUACAAGUUUCCUGGAUACGGAACAUCAUAGAGGGUGAGAAUCCCGUCCUUGAUACAGACUACCAGUGCUCUGUGAUGCGCUCUCGACGAGUCGAGUUGUUUGGGAUUGCAGCUCAAAAUGGGAGGUAAAUUCCUUCUAAAGCUAAAUAUUGGCGAGAGACCGAUAGCGAACAAGUACCGUGAGGGAAAGAUGAAAAGCACUUUGGAAAGAGAGUUAAACAGUACGUGAAAUUGUUAAAAGGGAAACGAUUGAAGUCAGUCGCGUCUACUUGGACUCAGCCUUGCCUCUCGGUUUGGUGCAUUUCCUUGUAGACGGGCCAGCGUCCAUGUCUUCUGCCGGAAAAGGGGUGAGGGAAUGUGGCUCUUUCGGGAGUGUUAUAGCCCUUGCUCGCAUACGGUGUGGGAUAUGGAGUGGUACAGCAUGCUUCGGCGGUGCUUGUGCUGGCAUAAUGGCUUUAAACGACCCGUCUUGAAACACGGACC
rnacentral:rRNA from 1 species